rnacentral:lncRNA from 1 species
GGGCAGCAUUGACAGAAACCAGAGAGCUGUAAAUGCCACACUGGGGUGGCUGGGCCACAUGUGCUAUUAACCAGACAGUCUUGUUCCAUGUCUGGAGUCUGAGCACAUUUUAGGCCCUGGUGGCUGGGCAGCACCCUGUGGGGACCGUUAACCACUUAGCUGAGACCCGUUGAGCAGAUGCCUCUGAAAUCUAUGCUGGUUUGAACCCCCCCUGGGGUAUUUUGUGCUCUUAGGGACACCAUAGUAAUUGAUGUAAUAUGCCUAAGAUGGACUGAAACUGUCUGAUAUUGGAAUAAAUUUAGCCUCACUGGUAAUAAAAGAUAAGUGCAUGAAAACAAGAUGUCAUUUUACUAUAAUUUUCCCUGGCCAUUUUAUUAUAAUUUUUAGAUUGGCCAAGGUUAAGAAAGAUGACAGCUCUGUGGGCUAGAGGGUGGAGAGACAAGCCCUCUCCUACACUGGUGAGGGGUGCCAGGAUUCUGUAGCAACACCUUUGAGUGAGCAUAACCUUGGACUCAAACAAUUUUCCUUACAGGCAAUAACCUACGAAAUACUGGGAUAUACGCACAAAGAUCCAUGUGCCAGGAUAUGUGUUGGAGGAUUUAUAUUUGGAGAAAAUUAAAUGCGCAAUGAGAGGUGCUGUUAUUAUUCCCACUUUACAGAGGGGAAGGCUGAAGCUCAAAGAAGCAAGGCAACUCUCAGGGGUCACAGAAGUGAUAAACUGAGGAGUUGGAAUUCCAGAGUCCAAGCUGGUGACGAGCACCGUGAACUCCUCUUCUCUGGCCACCACUCUACUCUACAACAAAGUCUAUAAAUUAUGGCCAUGGCCAGAUCCAGCUCGCCACCUGUUUCUCUGCUGUUCCCAAGGAAGUACGGGACGGAAAUUAAAGAAGAAAGUGGUUCCACAGGUUUGGUGGCUACAAAAAGAUUUCCUCGAUAAACACUGCCCACAGUCACUCAUUUGUGAAAGCUGCAUGAUGUGAAAUUAAACUCGGGCAGAGGUGCUGUGGGUGAUGAUGUCUCGGUGGCUUGGGGAAAUGAAAGCCAUUCAUCUCAGGCAAAUGUGACAGGCAGGACCAUUGGCUUUCCGUCACCUAUGGGCUGCCUUCUCAUGGCAGUGGCCUAUGCAGGCCUUACGUUUUUGCAGCAAAUUUGUAAUGAACCAAUCAGUGGCCUUCAUGUCAGGCAAUCUAGGAAGGUUUUGGAAGUGGGACUACUUGCCCCAC